rnacentral:rRNA from 1 species
GACGAACGCUGGCGGCGUGCUUAACACAUGCAAGUCGAACGGAAAGUCCCUGCUUUUGUGGGGUGCUCGAGUGGCGAACGGGUGAGUAACACGUGAGUAACCUGUCCUUGACUUUGGGAUAACUUCAGGCAACUGGGGCUAAUACCGGCUAGGAUCUCCUGCUGCAUGGUGGGGGUUGGAAAGUUUCGGCGGUUGGGGAUGGACUCGCGGCUUAUCAGCUUGUUGGUUGGGUAGUGGCUUACCAAGGCUUUGACGGGUAGCCGGCCUGAGAGGGUGACCGGCCACAUUGGGACUGAGAUACGGCCCAGACUACAACGGGAGGCAGCAGUGGGGAAUAGUGCACAAUGGGCGGAAGCCUGAUGCAGCAACGCAGCGUGCGGGAUGACGGCAUGCGGGUUGUAAACCGCUUUCGCCUGUGACGAAGCGUGAGUGACGGUAAUGGGUAAAGAAGCACCGGCUAACUACGUG